UACGUAGGGGGCAAGCGUUGUCCGGAAUUAUUGGGCGUAAAGAGCUCGUAGGCGGUCUGUCGCGUCGGAUGUGAAAACUCGGGGCUCAACCCCGAGCCUGCAGUCGAUACGGGCAGACUAGAGUGCGGUAGGGGAGACUGGAAUUCCUGGUGUAGCGGUGAAAUGCGCAGAUAUCAGGAGGAACACCGGUGGCGAAGGCGGGUCUCUGGGCCGUAACUGACGCUGAGGAGCGAAAGCGUGGGGAGCAAACAGG
rnacentral:rRNA from 1 species